rnacentral:rRNA from 1 species
CGUAGGGUGCGAGCGUUGUCCGGAAUUAUUGGGCGUAAAAGAGCUUGUAGGCGGUUUGUCGCGUCUGCUGUGAAAAAUCCCGGGGCUCAACCCCGGACUUGCAGUGGGUACGGGCAGACUAGAGUGUGGUAGGGAGACUGGAAUUCCUGGUGUAGCGGUGAAAUGCGACAGAUAUCAGGAGGAACACCGAUGGCGAAGGCAGGUCUCUGGGCCAGUUACUGACGCUGAGAAGCGAAAGCAAUGGGGAGCGAACAGGAUU